GACGGAGGAUGCAAGCGUUAUCCGGAAUUAUUGGGCGUAAAGCGUACGCAGGUGGCACAUCAAGUCUGUUGUUAAAGCGCGGAGCUCAACUCCGUAAAGGCGAUAGAAACUGGUGAGCUAGAGUAUGGUAGGGGCAGGAGGAAUUCCCAGUGUAGCGGUGAAAUGCGUAGAUAUUGGGAAGAACACCAGCGGCGAAAGCGUCCUGCCAAGCCAAAACUGACACUCAUGUACGAAAGCUAGGGGAGCGAAUGGG
rnacentral:rRNA from 1 species